GCCUGGGUGGCUCAGUCGGUUGAGUGUCCGACUUCGGCUCAGGUCAUGAUCUCACGGUCCGUGAGUUCGAGCCCCACAUCGGGCU
rnacentral:tRNA from 1 species